AGCUGGGGAACGGUCCGGCUGUUAAGCCUGGAAUAGUAGUUCUCCAAUCACAAUCAGACACGUAGGUGACUUAUUGUGAAAUUUUUACAUCUACAGACACUCGAUCAUUUUCAUUACACCUUCCUCACACUUGUAUUCAUGUGCCCUUUCUAUUUUCCUGAGGAACCUCGACGGACUCAACAUCCCGCAUGGCGCUCGACCCAAACGGUGGUGAAGCUCGACCCAGACAGUGGUGUAGCUCGACCUAGAUGA